rnacentral:rRNA from 1 species
UUCGUAGGCGGUUUGUCGCGUCGUUUGUGAAAACCAGCAGCUCAACUGCUGGCUUGCAGGCGAUACGGGCAGACUUGAGUACUGCAGGGGAGACUGGAAUUCCUGGUGUAGCGGUGAAAUGCGCAGAUAUCAGGAGGAACACCGGUGGCGAAGGCGGGUCUCUGGGCAGUAACUGACGCUGAGGAACGAAAGCGUGGGGGAGCAAACA